rnacentral:rRNA from 1 species
CAGCCGCCGCGGUAAUACAGAGGGUGCGAGCGUUAAUCGGAUUUACUGGGCGUAAAGCGUGCGUAGGCGGCUUUUUAAGUCGGAUGUGAAAUCCCUGAGCUUAACUUAGGAAUUGCAUUCGAUACUGGGAAGCUAGAGUAUGGGAGAGGAUGGUAGAAUUCCAGGUAUAGCGGUGAAAUGCGUAGAGAUCUGGAGGAAUACCGAUGGCGAAGGCAGCCAUCUGGCCUAAUACUGACGCUGAGGUACGAAAGCAUGGGGAGCAAACAGGAUUAGAUACCCGCGUAGUCCCUGUCUCUUAUAC